UACGUAGGGUGCGAGCGUUGUCCGGAAUUAUUGGGCGUAAAGAGCUCGUAGGCGGUGUGUCGCGUCGGUCGUGAAAACUUUCAGCUUAACUGGGAGCUUGCGGUCGAUACGGGCAUCACUGGAGUUCGGCAGGGGAGACUGGGAUUCCUGGUGUAGCGGUGAAAUGCGCAGAUAUCAGGAGGAACACCGGUGGCGAAGGCGGGUCUCUGGGCCGAUACUGACGCUGAGGAGCGAAAGCGUGGGGAGCGAACAGG
rnacentral:rRNA from 1 species